rnacentral:rRNA from 1 species
UAAACGACUCUCGGCAACGGAUAUCUCGGCUCACGCAUCGAUGAAGAACGUAGCAAAAUGCGAUACUUGGUGUGAAUUGCAGAAUCCCGUGAACCAUCGAAGGUCCARUUGCGCCCGAGCCUUCCGGCUGAGGGCACG